GACGAACGCUGGCGGCGUGCUUAACACAUGCAAGUCGAACGGAAAGGCCCUGCUUUUGUGGGGUGCUCGAGUGGCGAACGGGUGAGUAACACGUGAGUAACCUGCCCUUGACUUUGGGAUAACUUCAGGAAACUGGGGCUAAUACCGGAUAGGAGCUCCUGCUGCAUGGUGGGGGUUGGAAAGUUUCGGCGGUUGGGGAUGGACUCGCGGCUUAUCAGCUUGUUGGUGGGGUAGUGGCUUACCAAGGCUUUGACGGGUAGCCGGCCUGAGAGGGUGACCGGCCACAUUGGGACUGGGAGACGGCCAGGAUUCCUACGGGAGGAAACGGGGGGGAAUAUGCACAAUGGGCGGAAGCCUGAUGCAGCAACGCCGCGUGCGGGAUGACGGCCUUCGGGUUGUAAACCGCUUUCGCCUGUGACGAAGCGUGAGUGACGGUAAUGGGUAAAGAAGCACCGGCUAACUACGUG
rnacentral:rRNA from 1 species